rnacentral:rRNA from 1 species
UACCAGCACCCCCGAGUGGUCGGGACGUUUAUUGGGCCUAAAGCAUCCGUAGCCGGUUCUACAAGUCUUCCGUUAAAUCCACCUGCUUAACAGAUGGGCUGCGGAAGAUACUAUGGAGCUAGGAGGCGGGGAGAGGCAAGCGGUACUCGAUUGGGGUAGGGGGGUAAAAAAAUCCCGUUUGAUCCCAUUUGAAAGACCCACCCA